UACGUAGGUUGCAAGCGUUGUCCGGAUUUACUGGGUGUAAAGGGCGUGUAGGCGGAGAUGCAAGUUGGGAGUGAAAUCCCGGGGCUCAACCCCGGAACUGCUCUCAAAACUGUAUCCCUUGAGUAUCGGAGAGGCAAGCGGAAUUCCUAGUGUAGCGGUGAAAUGCGUAGAUAUUAGGAGGAACACCAGUGGCGAAGGCGGCUUGCUGGACGACAACUGACGCUGAGGCGCGAAAGCGUGGGGAGCAAACAGG
rnacentral:rRNA from 1 species